CACGUAGGAGGCAAGCGUUAUCCGGAUUUACUGGGCGUAAAGCGCGUGCAGGCGGCUCGGAAAGUUGGAUGUGAAAGCUCCCGGCUCAACUGGGAGAGGUCGUUCAAGACUUCCGGGCUAGAGGGUGGGAGAGGGAGGUGGAAUUCCGGGUGUAGUGGUGAAAUGCGUAGAUAUCCGGAGGAACACCGGUGGCGAAAGCGGCCUCCUGGCCCACCCCUGACGCUCAGACGCGAAAGCUAGGGGAG
rnacentral:rRNA from 1 species